CGGACGGGUGAGGAAUACAUCGGAAUCUACUCUGUCGUGGGGGAUAACGUAGGGAAACUUACGCUAAUACCGCAUACGACCUACGGGUGAAAGCAGGGGAUCUUCGGACCUUGCGCGAUUGAAUGAGCCGAUGUCGGAUUAGCUAGUUGGCGGGGUAAAGGCCCACCAAGGCGACGAUCCGUAGCUGGUCUGAGAGGAUGAUCAGUCACACUGGAACUGAGACACGGUCCAGACUCCUACGGGAGGCAGCAGUG
rnacentral:rRNA from 1 species